UACGUAGGGCGCAAGCGUUGUCCGGAAUUAUUGGGCGUAAAGAGCUCGUAGGCGGUUUGUCGCGUCUGUCGUGAAAGCUUGGGGCUUAGCCCCAAGUCUGCGGUGGAUACGGGCAGACUAGAGGCAGGUAGGGGAGAACGGAAUUCCCGGUGUAGCGGUGAAAUGCGCAGAUAUCGAGAGGAACACCAGUGGCGAAGGCGGCUCUCUGGGACGGUACCGACGCUGAGACGCGAAAGCGUGGGGAGCGAACAGG
rnacentral:rRNA from 1 species